GAUGGAAUGUCAAUCUGCCAAUUUGGAGAAGGCAAAGAUAAAGAAUCUACUGAUAAGGAGGAAGGGGCGACUGAGCCAGAAAUUGAAACACCAGAAGGUGUUCCUGAGACUGUUGAAAUUGCUCCAGAGGAAGUAACACUUCCUAAUGCGUUGACCUCUGUUGAUGGAGCACAGCAAACUAACAUGUCGAUGGCGUAUCAGCUUUCAAUUUAGGAGUAGAGGGAGAUACAGAAUCCCUUUCUCAUCUGGAGAUUGUGCUGAGCCGUUGUUUACUGAAAUGAAGCAGCUUCUACAGUGCUGUCAGGACUCAGUGUGACACACUCCGAGAGUAUCUCUGAGAGUCGACCACAGAAGUGUGUGGAUAAUUCAUCUGGAGCUGCAGGUCAAACAGGAAAAAAUACAUUAAGUGAAGAAAUAGAAGGUAAGAACUGUAUUUUAUUAAAAAGUCAUUUGACAGAAUGUUGAUUUCAGACAUGAAU